rnacentral:rRNA from 1 species
AGAACGAACGCUGGCGGCAGGCUUAACACAUGCAAGUCGAGCGCCUCGCAAGAGGAGCGGCAGACGGGUGAGUAACGCGUGGGAAUCUACCUAGUUCUACGGAACAACACAGGGAAACUUGUGCUAAUACCGUAUACGCCCUACGGGGGAAAGAUUUAUCGGAAUUAGAUGAGCCCGCGUAAGAUUAGCUAGUUGGUGGGGCAAUGGCCUACCAAGGCGACGAUCUUUAGCUGGUCUGAGAGGAUGAUCAGCCACACUGGGACUGAGACACGGCCCAGACUCCUACGGGAGGCAGCAGUGGGAAUAUUGGACAAUGGGCGCAAGCCUGAUCCAGCCAUGCCGCGUGAGUGAUGAAGGCCUUAGGGUGUAAAGCUCUUUCAGUGGGGACGAGUAAUGACGGUACCCACGAGAAGAAGCCCGGCUAACUUCGUGCCAGCAGCCGC